GACGAACGCUGGCGGCGUGCUUAACACAUGCAAGUCGAACGGAAAGCCCCUUUCGGGGGGACUCGAGUGGUGAACGGGUGAGUAACACGUGGGUGAUCUGCCCUGCACUUUGGGAUAAGCCUGGGAAACUGGGUCUAAUACCGGAUAGGACUACGCACUGCAUGGUGUGUGGUGGAAAGCUUUUGCGGUGUGGGAUGGGCCCGCGGCCUAUCAGCUUGUUGGUGGGGUGAUGGCCUACCAAGGCGACGACGGGUAGCCGGCCUGAGAGGGUGUCCGGCCACACUGGGACUGAGAUACGGCCCAGACUCCUACGGGAGGCAGCAGUGGGGAAUAUUGCACAAUGGGCGCAAGCCUGAUGCAGCGACGCCGCGUGAGGGAUGACGGCCUUCGGGUUGUAAACCUCUUUCAGCAUCGACGAAGCGCAAGUGACGGUAGAUGCAGAAGAAGCACCGGCCAACUACGUGCCAGCCGCCGCCGUAA
rnacentral:rRNA from 1 species